rnacentral:rRNA from 1 species
UACGGGGGGGGCAAGCGUUGUUCGGAAUUACUGGGCGUAAAGGGCUCGCAGGCGGCCAACUAAGUCAGACGUGAAAUCCCUCGGCUUAACCGGGGAACUGCGUCUGAUACUGGAUGGCUUGAGUUCGGGAGAGGGAUGCGGAAUUCCAGGUGUAGCGGUGAAAUGCGUAGAUAUCUGGAGGAACACCGGUGGCGAAGGCGGCAUCCUGGACCGAUACUGACGCUGAGGAGCGAAAGCCAGGGGAGCAAACGGG